rnacentral:lncRNA from 1 species
CAGCCAUAUCAACCAGUUUAUCCUUACAAUGCCCCAGAACAAUACCCUCCUUCUUCUUAGCCAUCAUUUUGAAUAUUAGUAACCCUAGGACAUGAUUAUGGCGGCUUGGUGGAAAGUCCUAUUUGCUUUCUUACUCAAAAUGAUUCUUCCUAAAGAAAAAUCCUUUAAUCAUCUAGUAACACUUAUUAGCCCCAAUACACCACAUACACCCAAAGUAUUUGUAAAAUUAUGUUUUGGAAUUUAAUUUUUUAAAUUGCAUUAUAUUAUGCGCUAUAUCACAAUUUUAAAAUAAUUGGAUCGAUCAUAAUUUCUAGAUUUUCCGUAAGAAAAAAGAAAUCUAAUCAAAUAAUGUUACAUGGACAACACACACCAGAGAUUAAUGAUCAAUAUUUUGAAAAUAGUAAUAGUAGUCUCUGAACUAUUGGAAAAUCUCCUUUUCUCCUCUGUGUUAAUAACAUCAUAAAAAUGUUUAAAAACU